rnacentral:rRNA from 1 species
GACGAACGCUGGCGGCGUGCUUAACACAUGCAAGUCGAACGGUGAACCUCUUCGGAGGGGAUCAGUGGCGAACGGGUGAGUAACACGUGGGCAACCUGCCCCCGGCUCUGGGAUAACUCCAAGAAAUUGGGGCUAAUACCGGAUGUUCACCGCUUCCCGCAUGGGUGGUGGUGGAAAGGGUUUCCGGCUGGGGAUGGGCCCGCGGCCUAUCAGCUUGUUGGUGGGGUAGUGGCCUACCAAGGCGACGACGGGUAGCCGGCCUGAGAGGGUGACCGGCCACACUGGGACUGAGACACGGCCCAGACUCCUACGGGAGGCAGCAGUGGGGAAUAUUGCGCAAUGGGCGGAAGCCUGACGCAGCGACGCCGCGUGGGGGAUGACGGCCUUCGGGUUGUAAACCUCUUUCAGCAGGGACGAAGCGCAAGUGACGGUACCUGCAGAGGAAGCACCGGCCAACUACGU